rnacentral:rRNA from 1 species
AUGCUAGCGGCUACUAACUUUUCUUUUCUGCAGAGACGCUUUGCUAGUGAUCAGACCAGGAAGGCAUACACAGCAUUGAACGAGCAGCUCGAUGCGUACACCGGGGUCAUCUGGCAGCCCUACACGGAAGCAGCCAUACAAGCGAGAUACCCUGGUGGUAUGUCUGUGCUAUGCACAAGGGACCGAGAUUACUGGAUGACAAAAUCUAAGAUCAUCUUCGAUGUCUUCGUCGAGGAGAUGGCACAACAGAGGGUUAUGAGGCAAUUUGGUCUUCUGCAGUUGGAGCUACCUCCCCCUAUAGAGAACCCGGUGCCAGCACACAUCCACAGGUAUUAA